rnacentral:rRNA from 1 species
UACGUAGGGUGCAAGCGUUGUCCGGAAUUAUUGGGCGUAAAGAGCUCGUAGGCGGUUUGUCGCGUCUGCUGUGAAAACUCGGGGCUCAACCCCCGAGCUUGCAGUGGGUACGGGCAGACUAGAGUGCGGUAGGGGGAGACUGGAAUUCCUGGUGUAGCAGUGAAAUGCGUAGAGAUCAUGAGGAAGACCAGUGGCGAAGGCGGGGUCUCUGGACAGUUCCUGACACUGAGGCACGAAGGCCAGGGGAGCAA